GGGUAAGUCGACCCCUAAGGCGAGGCCGAAAGGCGUAGUCGAUGGGAAACGGGUUAAUAUUCCCGUACUUCUUACAAUUGCGAUGGGGGGACGGAGAAGGCUAGGUGGGCCUGGCGACGGUUGUCCAGGUUCAAGUGCGUAGGCUUAAGAGUUAGGUAAAUCCGGCUCUUUUUAAGGCUGAGACACGACGUCGAGCACCUACGGGUGUGAAGUCAUUGAUGCCAUGCUUCCAGGAAAAGCCUCUAAGCUUCAGAUUGUAAGGAAUCGUACCCCAAACCGACACAGGUGGUCGGGUAGAGAAUACCAAGGCGCUUGAGAGAACUCGGGUGAAGGAACUAGGCAAAAUGGUACCGUAACUUCGGGAGAAGGUACGCUCUCGACGGUGAAGUCCCUUGCGGAUGGAGCUAU
rnacentral:rRNA from 1 species